AUUGAACGCUGGCGGAAUGCUUUACACAUGCAAGUCGAACGGCAGCACGGACUUCGGUCUGGUGGCGAGUGGCGAACGGGUGAGUAAUACAUCGGAACGCGUCCUGUAAUGGGGGAUAACCUGGCGAAAGCCAGGCUAAUACCGCAUACGUCCUGAGGGAGAAAGCGGGGGAUCGCAAGACCUCGCGUUAUAGGAGCGGCCGAUGUCGGAUUAGCUAGUUGGUGGGGUAAAGGCUCACCAAGGCGACGAUCUGUAGCGGGUCUGAGAGGAUGAUCCGCCACACUGGAACUGAGACACGGUCCAGACUCCUACGGGAGGCAGCAGUGGGGAAUUUUGGACAAUGGGCGCAAGCCUGAUCCAGCCAUGCCGCGUGAGUGAAGAAGGCCUCGGUUGUAAG
rnacentral:rRNA from 1 species